rnacentral:rRNA from 1 species
UCAGCCGGUCUCGCGAAUGCUUAGAUUAAGUUUGAUCAUGGCUCAGACUGANGCACNUAACGGUAGUGCCUAACACAUGCAAGUCGAACGGCAGCACAGAGGAGCUUGCUCCUUGGGUGGCGAGUGGCGGACGGGUGAGGAAUACAUCGGAAUCUACUUUUUCGGGGGGGAUAACGUAGGGAAACUUACGCUAAUACCGCAUACGACCUACGGGUGAAAGCAGGGGAUACUUCGGACCUUGCGCGAUUAGAAUGAGCCGAUAGUACGGAUUAGCUAGUUGGCGGGGUAAAGGCCCACCAAGGCGACGAUCCGUAGCUGGUCUGAGAGGAUGAUCAGCCACACUGGAACUGAGACACGGUCCAGACUCCUACGGGAGGCAGCGGUGGGGAAUAUUGGACAAUGGGCGCAAGCCUGAUCCAGCCAUACCGCGUGGGUGAAGAAGGCCUUCGGGUUGUAAAGCCCUUUUGUUGGGAAAGAAAUCCAGCCAGCUAAUACCUGGUUGGGAUGACGGUACCCAAAGAAUAAGCACCGGCUAACUUCGUGCCAGCAGCCGCGGUAAUACGCAAAGGGUGCCAAGCGUUUACUCCGGGAAUUUAACCUGGGC